AUGCUUUGCUGCAGGUGUGUGCUGCCUCUCCUGGCUCUGUACGUGUCGUUGGAGGAGAUAUCCGCUGCUGUGUUGCCAAGUUCUUCCAGAAACAAAAGGGUAGGUCUCCGUUUUAGACGGAUCUGAUACCUGCAGGCAUUAAACCCAGUUCAGUCUAUUUUAUAAUCUGAUUAUCGUCCUCAGGAAGUGAGCUGGCUGGAGCAGGAGCUCUUCCCCCACCUGCAUGACCCCUCGGACCAGAGGGACCUGUCCGUGGGCGACGCUGGGGACAUGGGAAGGGAUGUGGAGGGCCGCCCCGCUCACUCAGAGAGCUUUUUGGCCCCGACGGAGCACCUUAGUGUCCAACACCAGAACCAGAACCAGAACCAGUUCCAGUACCAACGUAAAGCCAAUGAAAAGAGGAGGAAGGUUGCUCCCCUCGACUCCAUCGGCCGCUUUCAAAUGUCCAGUUCCCGAAGCCGAAAAGAUGAACCAGAUGUCCAGUGGGAAGAAAUCAGAGAGUGAAGAGCAGCGCCAACAACUGAGCCCUUUCUAUUGCAUUCUGUUUAAUAUGUCUUCCAUGAUAUUUAUUCAUUAUUAUUUAACUCGCUGCCAUACUAACAAGUGAGACACCUGUCGACUGACUCCCUCUAGUGGUCGAACAGACACACGACAAACACUGCUGUGUGCCAACAUCUAAUCCAACAUUACAUAAAUGUUUCAAAUGUCUUUUUUUUUUAAUGUGUACAGUCAAUAAAAAUGAUUUUAAAAAGCACCAUCUUACCUUUAUGUUCCCAAAGACUUUUAUUUUUCAAGCUACAAUUAAAGAAAACAAUAUCAGACUGCAGAAAAUAUAGAUUUUGCUUGGGUAUUUUCUCUCUUCACUUUCACAUAUGUACAGUUGUCAAAGAACAGGAUAUGUACACAGAAUUGAAGUCGUAGAGAGAGUGCAACUGCUACUGGAGACUUACCAACACACUCCCACCAACAAAAGAAAAAGCACGUGGUAAAACCAAACAACAUAAAACAAAUGCCACAAACCUACGCGGCAUCAACUUAUUUUUCUGUACACUACAACUUUGUUCUCCAUGUGAGACAAUCUUAUGUCCAUUCUCUGACGCGGGGCGCUUCUCUAAAUCCCGCUCGCUCAGAAAGCUAAGAAAUAAAACAAUUACGAUGAAACAGAAGAACAAAUAUUUUACAACCAUUCAUAAACGAGCCUCAGAGCCACCGUUGAUAUCGUAAAGCACUGCCGAACCAUUCGUCUUACAGCAACAUUACCCCCUCAGAUCAGUUUUUAACAUGAAAAACUAUUUUUAAAAAAACAACAAAAAAAAAGAAACGAAAAAAACAAAACAAAAAAAAAAACACACAUGAAACAAAAACAUCAAAAUUCAAACAGCUUUCAAUGUAAAUGUUGUUCAUGGUAAAUGGCUAUCAAUGAUUACCAAGCCAGACAGGGAGAAACAUUAAGCGCUCAGUCAUCAAAGUACACAGCUACAUGCUAAGUACAGUUUUAAAUCAGCCGUAGCUCAUCAUGUUCCAGAUACCGCCGGUAUACGUGGCAGAAACGGUAUCUGGGUUUCUAUUUUUAAAAAAAGUGCACUGCCGAAAGUGUGCAAUUUGAAAUGUAGCAAUUUUCCGAUGCAAUUUCAGUAUGCAAAACAGUAAAUGUCAACAGAUUGUAUGAAUUCAAAAGAUCACUUAUUCUAAGAAGAGUGCGAUCUCUUACGGGUCAAUGUUCAGUGAUCACCACUGACGACGGAAAAAAUGAGAACCGCAAAAAAAAAAAAAAUAUCAGAAAUUAAGAAGGAGCUGCCCACUUUAUCACACGCUUCUGAACAAAAGAACAGGAGUUACGUUUUCCAUCUCUUCAGCUGUAGAUUUUAAUGUUAAUGUGUAAAACUCGCAUUGAUUUAAAAAGUUGAGGAAACGGCUACUGAACUGAAAAUGGGACUCCUCGAGACACUAAAAGGAAAUGUUUUCAUUGAUUUGUCGAUUUUCCUCGAAAUAAUUUACAUGUAAAAAAAAAAAAAAAAAAAAAAAUGCGCCUUCAGUUUCUGAGACUAAGUGUGACAAUAUAUGUGCACAUCACCAGCACAGAAUACAACAUUAAAGCCAAUUAAUAGAGGAAUUAAUUAGUAACAAAUAAAAUGAUUCUCCACUGUCACGCAGCCUUCUGUCCACUUCUUCACAGUAGCCAAAGAAAAUAAAAAAAAGGUAAGAAACAAACAAAACAAAACAAAAAGUGAGGGAUAAAUAAGAAUGGUUGUGAUUGUCAAAAAGAAAUCCUACAAAGUGACAAUACGGUUGCCAUCCAGGUGAUAGUUUAGGCUGUUUUGGCUGUAGGCAUCAAAGAAAACAAGAGUCAAGAGGACAGCAAAAAAAACAGGGUGGGUGCUCCUGGGGGU
ensembl:lncRNA